rnacentral:lncRNA from 1 species
UAUUUACUUCUAAUUUUAGCAACCAGCCUGGUGAUUUCUCCUUUAUUAACUUCUUUUAUAGAAGCAUGAGGCCCGUCAAGGAUUACAUCCCAAAGCUUAUUAUAUUUAGCCAUGAUAAAAUCAUGCAUUCUUGUCAUCCACCAACUAUAGUAUUGGCUACUGAAUCGAGGUGUUCUGGUGGUUAACUGUCCUUCCUCCAAAUUUGGUGGUGC